rnacentral:rRNA from 1 species
AGGCCAUUGCUAUUGGAGUCCGAUUUAGCCAUGCUAGUUGCACGAGUUUAGACUCGUGGCGGAUAGCUCAGUAACACGUGGCCAAACUACCCUCUGGAGCGCGAUAUUCUCGGGAAACUGAGGUUAAUAGUGCAUACAGCUCGGCACUUGGAGUAGUGCGAGCGAGAAAUGCUCCGGCGCCAGAGGAUGUGGCUGCGGCCGAUUAGGUAGACGGUGGGGUAACGGCCCACCGUGCCGAUAAUCGGUACGGGUCAUGAGAGUGAGAGCCCGGAGACGGAAUCUGAGACAAGAUUCCGGGCCCUACGGGGCGCAGCAGGCGCGAAACCUUUACACUGCACGCCAGUGCGAUAAGGGGACUCCAAGUGCGAGGGCAUAUCGUCCUCGCUUUUUGCGACCGUAAGAUGGUCGCGGAAUAAGUGCUGGGCAAGACCGGUGCCAGCCGCCGCGGUAAUACCGGCAGCACGAGUGAUGACCGCUCUUAUUGGGCCUAAAGCGUCCGUAGCUGGCCGCGCAAGUCCAUCGGGAAAUCUGUCCGCUUAACGGACAGGCGUCCGGUGGAAACUGUGCGGCUUGGGACCGGAAGAUCCAGAGGGUACGUCCGGGGUAGGAGUGAAAUCCUGUAAUCCUGGACGGACCACCGGUGGCGAAAGCGCUCUGGAAAGACGGAUCCGACGGUGAGGGACGAAAGCUCGGGUCACGAACCGGAUUAGAUACCCGGGUAGUCCGAGCUGUAAACGAUGUCUGCUAGGUGUGGCACAGGCUACGAGCCUGUGCUGUGCCGUAGGGAAGCCGUGAAGCAGACCGCCUGGGAAGUACGUCCGCAAGGAUGAAACUUAAAGGAAUUGGCGGGGGAGCAC